CUCUUGUGGGCAUUUAGUGCUAUAAAUUUCCCUCUCAACACUGCUUUAAAUGUGUUCCAGAGAUUCUUGCACAUUGUGUCUUUUUUCUCAUUAGUUUCAAAGAACAUCUUUAUUUCUGCUUCAAUUUCAUUAUUAACCCAGUAAUAUGCACCUAAUGCAGGAGAA